CGCGGGGUCUGUGAGGUGUGGCGCGGCGUCUGUGAGGUGGGGCGCAGGGUCUGUGAGGUGUGGCACGGCGUCUGUGAGGUGUGGCGCGGCGUCUGUGAUGAAGACAAACUGAUGUGAGGAUGAGGAGGAGUCAGAAAUAAACUCAUUCAACUAAUACUUGAGUAGCUACUGUUGCCUACAGUAUGUUCAAGGUUUUGCUAGUCAUCCAUAUGAUCACUAUUGACAGCUUGGGAGACUCACACAGGCUAGUGAAUUUCAGGAAUUAACAGAAACUGAACAGCUUCUAUAAUCCUGCAGGAAGUAACCUCUGGAUGGCACAAUGGAGUCUCACUCUGUUGCCCAGGCUGGAGUGCAAUGGCACAAUCUCAGCUCACCACAAGCUCCGCCUCCUGCGUUCAAGUGAUUCUCCUGCCUUAGCCUUCUGAGUAGCUGGUAUUACAGGUGCCUGCUACCAUGGCCAGCUAAGUUUUGUAUUUUUAGUAGAGACAGGGUUUCACCAUGUUGGCCAGGCUGUUCUCAAACUCCUGACCUCAAGUGAUCUGCCCGCCUAAGCCUCCCAAAGUGCUGGGAUUACAAGCAUGAGCCGCCGCACCCGGCCUCUGCUAAGUUUACAACCUGCAAAUUCUAUCCAAAAUAUAUACAUAUUUUCUUGUAUUUUUCAUU
rnacentral:lncRNA from 1 species